UCGGCUCUAAAAUGUACGAUUUCAACUUCGGUAAUUAUCUCCUACAAUAUUAUUGUCAUAACCAUCACCAUUCUUGCCGGUAACUCUACAACCACCACCAUCUCCUCCCGUAACACUGUCACAAAACCUUAACACGAUGGUCCAAAGCAAGUUCAUACCCUACCCGUGACUGAUUUUCAGAUGGCACAGACGCCAUGUUUGCAGUUGUAUGGAAACUAAUUACAUCAUCAGAGACUAGACGGACAGACUCAGCGAAGGCGUACAGAGGUGGCAAAAUCACAGUAUUUCGGCCCCAAACCUCUGCGAGCAUCAAGCACCAAAUCGCCAUCAGGAACAGUAUUUAGGCCCCAACGAUCUACUGUUGAUACUCUCGCCGCCAUAGAUCAAUCUGUUCCUGAUGGCGAUUUGGUGCUUGGUGCUUGCUGAGGUUUGGAGCCGAAAUACUGUAAUUUUGCCACCUCCACGCUGAGUCUGUUACGUUUGUUGAGUUGGCUGAUCUCUUACUUAGCCAUGAAAGCUUCCUUCGUUCGUUUAGUCUCUGUUGAUGUGACGAGUUCCAAUACAACUGCAAACAUGGCGUCUGUGUCAUCUGAAAAUCAGUCACGAUCUUUAUCUUUAUCAGUCACGAUCUUUCUGGCGGGCGCAAUUUCUUCCUUUACUUCGAGGAUAUAACCUGAUCGGCUAUGUCGAUGGUUCCUUCAUACGACCUGCGAUUCAUCUUACAUCUGAGAAUGCUGAAAUUGUUGCUGCUGCCUCUUCUACCGUCGCUCUCUAGGAUCAGCUAGAUCAGCUGGAUCGUGUCUUCUUUGUUUGAAUCUGCACUCUCGCAUGUAGUUAAUGCCUCCACUGCUCAACAUGCUUGGGAGAUUCUUGCUCGUGUGUUUGCUCCCUCCUCUAGGACGCGUGUGAUGGAUCUUAAAGAUCAUCUUUCUCGGCUUUAGAGAGGUUUGGGGCUGAGUCUGUUACGUUUGUUGAACUGGCUGAUCUCUUACUUAACUAUGAAAGCUUCCUUCGUUUAGUCUCUGAUGAUGUAACUAGUUCCAAUACAACUGCAAACAUGGCGUCUGUGCCAUCUGAAAAUCAGUCACGAUCUUUAUACAAGCAAGUUCAUACCCUACCCGUGACUGAUUUGUUUACCGAUUUUUGUGAUUAGGGUUUUUAUCCUUCGAACCCAACAA